UACGUAGGGGGCUAGCGUUGUCCGGAAUCAUUGGGCGUAAAGAGCGUGUAGGCGGCCCGGUAAGUCCGCUGUGAAAGUCGGGGGCUCAACCCUCGAAUGCCGGUGGAUACUGUCGGGCUAGAGUGCGGAAGAGGCGAGUGGAAUUCCUGGUGUAGCGGUGGAAUGCGCAGAUAUCAGGAAGAACACCAACGGCGAAGGCAGCUCGCUGGGACGGUACUGACGCUGAGACGCGAAAGCGUGGGGAGCGAACAGG
rnacentral:rRNA from 1 species